CGGGAGGCUGCAGUACGAAUAUUCCACCAAUGGACGCAGUCUGAUGAGCAAUGCCGCGUGCGGGACGAGCACUUCGGUGUGUAAACCGCUGUCAGGGGUCGCCAAGCAAUGGAGGCUAAUAUCCUCCGGCGUUGAGGAGCCCCAGAGGAAGCCACGGCUAACUUCGUGCCAGCAGCCGCGGUAAUACGAAGGUGGCGAGCGUUGUUCGGAAUCACUGGGCUUAAAGCGCAUGUAGGCGGCCGUGCAAGCGUCUUGUGAAAUCCCUCGGCUCAACCGAGGAACUGCUGGGCGAACUGCACGACUUGAGGCAGGUAGGGGUGCGUGGAACUCUUGGUGGAGCGGUGAAAUGCGUAGAUAUCAAGAGGAACGCCGGAGGCGAAAGCGGCGCACUGGGCCUGUCCUGACGCUGAGAUGCGAAGGCUAGGGUAGCGAACGGGAUUAGAUACCCCGGUAGUCCUAGCAGUAAACGAUGCCUACUAGGUCGGAGGUUCUCUGACGGAGUUCCGGCCGAAACUAAAGCGAUAAGUAGGCCGCCUGGGGAGUACGGUCGCAAGGCUAAAACUCAAAGGAAUUGACGGGGAAAUGCACAACCAGGGGAGCAUGUGGUUUAAUUCGAUACAAAGCGAAGAACCUUACCUGGGUUUGACAUCCCGGUGACCGAUUGUGGAAACACGAUUUUUCUUUUAGACACCGGUGACAGCUGCUGCAUGGCUGUCGUCAGCUCGUACCGUGAGGCGUCGGCUUAAGUGCCGCAACGAGCGCAACCCCCAUCGUAUGUUACAUAUCAUACGAGACUGCCCCCGAACAACGGGGGAGGAAGGAGGGGAUGACGUCAAGUCAGCACGGCGCUUACAUCCAGGGCAACACACAUCCUACAAUGGUGGGGGACAGCGGGUUGCGAACCAGUAAUGGGGAGCUAAUCCUUCAAACCCCCCCUCAGUUCAGAUUGUGGGCUGAAAUUCGCCCACAUGAAGUCGGACUUGGUAGUAAUCGCGGGUCAGCAGACCGCGGUGAAUGCGUUCUCAUUUCUUGUACACACCGCCCGUCACAUGAGGAAAGUCGGCAGUGCCC
rnacentral:rRNA from 1 species